rnacentral:lncRNA from 1 species
CGUCUCCUUCAUGGUGGCGACUUCAAAUUCUCCCCGUAGUUGUUGUAGUCGGAUUUGCUUCACUUUUUCUUCUUUAAAUAUGAUGGAGAGAGUAUCCCAUGCUUGCUUUGCAGAAGUUGCUUCAGCAAUUCUUUCAAAUGUCACCUCAUCCAAGGCUUGAUAUAAUUGAAACAAAGCUUUCUUGUCUCUCCUUCUUGUAACCCUCAAAGUCUCCUUUUGAUUUUGAUUGUACCCUCUCUCUUGAUCUGGUGUAGGCUCGGUGUAGCCAUCAUUAACGAUCUCCCAU